rnacentral:rRNA from 1 species
AAGACUGGGAUAACUCCGGGAAACCGGGGCUAAUACCGGAUGCUUGUUUGAACCGCAUGGUUCAAACAUAAAAGGUGGCUUCGGCUACCACUUACAGAUGGACCCGCGGCGCAUUAGCUAGUUGGUGAGGUAAUGGCUCACCAAGGCAACGAUGCGUAGCCGACCUGAGAGGGUGAUCGGCCACACUGGGACUGAGACACGGCCCAGACUCCUACGGGAGGCAGCAGUAGGGAAUCUUCCGCAAUGGACGAAAGUCUGACGGAGCAACGCCGCGUGAGUGAUGAAGGUUUUCGGAUCGUAAAGCUCUGUUGUUAGGGAAGAACAAGUACCGUUCGAAUAGGGCGGUACCUUGACGGUACCUAACCAGAAAGCCACGGCUAACUACGUGCCAGCAGCCGCGGUAAUACGUAGGUGGCAAGCGUUGUCCGGAAUUAUUGGGCGUAAAGGGCUCGCAGGCGGUUUCUUAAGUCUGAUGUGAAAGCCCCCGGCUCAACCGGGGAGGGUCAUUGGAAACUGGGGAACUUGAGUGCAGAAGAGGAGAGUGGAAUUCCACGUGUAGCGGUGAAAUGCGUAGAGAUGUGGAGGAACACCAGUGGCGAAGGCGACUCUCUGGUCUGUAACUGACGCUGAGGAGCGAAAGCGUGGGGAGCGAACAGGAUUAGAUACCCUGGUAGUCCACGCCGUAAACGAUGAGUGCUAAGUGUUAGGGGGUUUCCGCCCCUUAGUGCUGCAGCUAACGCAUUAAGCACUCC